rnacentral:rRNA from 1 species
UACGGGGGGAGCAAGCGUUGUUCGGAUUUACUGGGCGUAAAGGGCGCGUAGGCGGCCACCGCAAGUCGACUGUGAAAUCUCCGGGCUUAACCCGGAAAGGUCAGCCGAUACUGCGGGGCUAGAGUGCAGAAGGGGCAACUGGAAUUCUCGGUGUAGCGGUGAAAUGCGUAGAUAUCAGGAAGAACACCGGUGGCGAAGGCGGCUCUCUGGGCCUUACCUGACGCUGAGGAGCGAAAGCGUGGGUAGCGAACAGG